rnacentral:lncRNA from 1 species
UCACAUUGAUAAUGUUCUAAUAUACUAUUUUCUAUCUUUUUAGUUGAUUGGUAUAAAACUAAAUAAAAUAACCAAGUGAUUUUGGUUUACUGGUAACGAAUUUACAGUUGUGAGUACCAUUCUGAUUCAAUUUUUUUUGGCCAUUCGAAACCCUUUAAGUGGUAAAAAAACACUAUCUUGCUGACUUUAUGUUGAUUAAUGUUUAGGUUUAAAAAACCUUUGAAAUUACAUCACAGUUAUCAAAAAAAAUAUAGAACUAAAUUAACGAAUAUAUUGAAUAUAAUAUAUUCAUUUCUUCCUUUUCCCCUGUAUAUUAAUACAUCUGUAAUAAAAAAAAAAAACAAAAUACAAAAAUGUAAGAGAGUCUCGUGUUUGUGACUGCUAUAUUUUCUUUUGUCUGCUCCCUCAUAUGUAUUGUAUCCCUUAUUCGAAUCAAAUAUCAUUUCAUGACACCUAAAUGCUGAUAUUUAUAAUAUUUUGAUAUUAGCAAAAACUGAAAAAAUCAUUAUUUUGCAUAGGCCUGAGAAGAGAUCAUUAGAGACGGCUUCCGGGAACAUGGUUCGUGUUAUAUUUAGCUUCGGUAAUUAACUUCCAUUUAUCUAUCUAAUAUUCCACGAUUGACGAUGUUAAGUUUCGUUGUCCCGCUUCGAUUAUAAAUGACCUUGACUAUGUUAUUCAACAUAAUUUGUUUGACAUUUUUGACUAAAAAUAAUUUGUUUGACAUUUUUGACUAAAAAUAUUGCAGUUAGGAAUUAUAAUACGAAAUUCCUCUAUGAUUUACAGCUUUAAUCCACAUAUAUUAUUGUCAGUU